rnacentral:misc_RNA from 1 species
GUACCACUAAAAAAUCUCUUCUUUUUUUUUUCCCCUUAUCUGAGUUGCCGAAAAUGGGGAAGAGAAGUCAACAACUUUACCACAAGCCAUUCUGAGUAGAGAUCUAAGCAGAAAAACCUUUUCAUCCGUCUCUUCUUGUCCUCUCACCAAACUUCAACCGGGAUGCAGAGCUAACUUUUGCAAUUGAAUCUGGUCUUUGGUGUCAUGAUCUGAAUCCAAUCUAUUGACUGGCCAUGAG